CGGAGGGAGCUAGCGUUGUUCGGAAUUACUGGGCGUAAAGCGCACGUAGGCGGCUAUUCAAGUCAGAGGUGAAAGCCCGGGGCUCAACCCCGGAACUGCCUUUGAAACUAGGUAGCUAGAAUCUUGGAGAGGUCAGUGGAAUUCCGAGUGUAGAGGUGAAAUUCGUAGAUAUUCGGAAGAACACCAGUGGCGAAGGCGACUGACUGGACAAGUAUGACGCUGAGGUGCGAAAGCGUGGGGAGCAAACAGGAUU
rnacentral:rRNA from 1 species